UGAGACAUUAAAACAGUUGGAGGCGCUUGACAAAGAACUCCAGCAACUGUCUCACAUCAAGGAGAAUGUGGAUGAUAAGUUGGAGUUAAGGAAGAAGCAGUUCCACGUGCUACUGAGUACCAUACAGGAACUACAGCAGACUCUCUCGAGUAAACAAGGGCAUGCGUUGGUA